rfam:Pan troglodytes isolate Yerkes chimp pedigree #C0471 (Clint) chromosome 3, whole genome shotgun sequence.
GCCAGGUGUGGUGGUGCACACCUGUAGUCCCAGCUACUUGGGAGGCUGAGGCUAGAGGAUCACUUGAGCACAGGAGGCCUAGGGUGCAGUGAGCCAUGAUCGUGCCACUGCACUCCAACUUGGACAACAGAGUGAGACCCUGUCUCAA